UUGUCCUAUUUGGUUCGGCUUUGUCUCUAUGUCAUCUUAAUUCAGUGUGCCCAUGAUCACACGGUGUGUAAGUGAUGAAAGCAGGAGAUGAAUUCAGGAGAAUUGUUUGAACCACUGGGGAUGGGGACUAUGCCUGUCUCAUUCUUUGCGGUAUCCCAGCACCUAGUACAGUGGCUCAAGAAAGAGACACUGAAGCCUGCAAAAAGAGAGAGAUUUGCCUAAGGUCUGUAGUCUGCAGGUGAGCUCUGGGUUCAGAGAAGUGAUGUUUGCCCAACGUCAGGGCUCUUGUUUGAACUUCUCUGCUGCAACCAGUCCUUCCUAUGUUGGUUGAAGGAGAGCUUUGCUUCUCGUGGCAUACAGGGACCCACCCUUAUGGCAUGACUUCAAAGUUAUGUGACAUGGUGGUGCAGCUGGAAGAUGAGGAAAGUGAACAACGUUGGAGAGGCCCCACCUACUCUUGACUGUCUCUGCUGGAAGUGAUUCAACACUCCUCUUUAAAUUUCAUUGAUAAGGAAAACCCCCAUGAGAGAAAGUAACUUGAUCAACAUCACACAGCUAGGUGGGAGUGGUGGCUUCUGCCUGUAAUCCAAGCACUUUGGGAGGACGA
rnacentral:lncRNA from 1 species